AAAUUGAAGAGUUUGAUCAUGGCUCAGAUUGAACGCUGGCGGCAGGCCUAACACAUGCAAGUCGAACGGUAACAGGAAACAGCUUGCUGUUUCGCUGACGAGUGGCGGACGGGUGAGUAAUGUCUGGGAAACUGCCCGAUGGAGGG
rnacentral:rRNA from 1 species